rnacentral:rRNA from 1 species
UUUCCGUAGGUGAACCUGCGGAAGGAUCAUUGCCGAAACCUGCCAAGCAGUUUGACUUGAGAACUUGUAAACCCCCGGCGCGGUAUGCGCCAAGGAUUACUAAACUGAGAUUGCUGCCUUGCCCUGCUCCGUUCGCGGUUCUGCGGGCAUUGUUAGCAUCUUUAUAAACAAUAUGACUCUCGGCAACGGAUAUCUCGGCUCUCGCAUCGAUGAAGAACGUAGCGAAAUGCGAUACUUGGUGUGAAUUGCAGAAUCCCGUGAACCAUCGAGUCUUUGAACGCAAGUUGCGCCCAAGGCCAUCAGGCUUAGGGCACGUCUGCCUGGGUGUCACGUGACGUGUCGCUCCCUUCUAGAUUUGGGGAGGAGCGGAUCAUGUCCUCCCGUGCCUAUUGUAUGGUGCGGUGGGACCAAAUGCUUGAUACUGUUGAUGGACGUUCUGGCGAUUGGUGGUUGUGCCUAGAGUGCAAACGUCGUUCCACGUUCAAUCGUUUGCGGAUAUCAGACCCUUUCGAGUCAAAGUGAUUUGGCUUACGAAGUGCGAUCCCAGGUCAGGCGGGACUACCCGCUGAGUUUAA